rnacentral:rRNA from 1 species
AAAAACAUCGCCUCUUGCAUAUAAAUUAUAAGAGGUCCUGCCUGCCCUGUGACUCUAAGUUUAACGGCCGCGGUAUUUUAACCGUGCAAAGGUAGCGCAAUCACUUGUCCCUUAAAUAGGGACCUGUAUGAAUGGCUUAACGAGGGCUAAACUGUCUCCUUUCCCCAGUCAAUGAAAUUGAUCUACCCGUGCAGAAGCGGGCAUAACACCGUAAGACGAGAAGACCCUAUGGAGCUUUAAGACAAAAGAUAGAUUAUGUCAAAUACCCUUAAUAAUGGAUUGAACCAAAUAAAUCCUAUCCCUAUCUUUGGUUGGGGCGACCGCGGGGAAACAACCAACCCCCACAUGGAAUAAGUACACCCAUACCUUUAAAACCAGAGCCACAGCUCUAAUAAACAGAACAUCUGCCCACACAGAUCCGGCAAAAUGCCGAUCAAUGGACCAAGUUACCCUAGGGAUAACAGCGCAAUCCCCUUCUAGAGCCCCUAUCGACAAGGGGGUUUACGACCUCGAUGUUGGAUCAGGACAUCCUAACGGUGUACCCGCUUUUAAGGGUUCGUUUGUUCAACGAUUAAAGUCCUACGUGAUCU